CAAGGGGUAGUUUAAUUAGAAUUUCAGCUUUGGGUGCUGAAGGUGAGGAUGUAGGUGCCUCUUCCUUGA
rnacentral:tRNA from 1 species